CAGUGAAAGCGACAGUAUUAGACUGAGCUGCAGUUAAACAGUGAAGCAGGUUGGGGAUUUAGCUCAGUGGUAGAGCACUUGCCUAGCAAGCGCAAGGCCCUGGGUUCGGUCCCCAGCUCCGAAAAAAAGAAAGAAAAAAAAAAAGAGGGUAAACAGUGAAGCAGACUCUACUCUUGGUCAAGGAUAGUAGAAUGGGAAUCCAGGAGUGGUGGUGGAUCAUACUUCUAAUCACAGCACCUGGUACAGAGGCAGAAAGGGCAGGAAUUCGAAGUCAUCCUUGGCUUCAAUGCAGUCUCUCCACCUCCAUGGCUCGCCCCACGCAGUGCCUGCCUAUCUCGAGGCUCUCUUGCUGUGGACUCCGUUCAUAUUCCCAGCUACCCGGCCUGAAGAAACCAGUAGAGUUGAUGGAGAAUGGACCAGCCAGGUCCCAGGGAGGCAAAGCCAUGUGAACGCCCUGAAUCAGCAUGGACCCAGAGGGACCUGAGCUAUAAGCCCAGGUGUGGCCCUUGGUGGAGCUGUAGGCGCAGUUCAGUCACCUGAUGACACCCUGCCCUUCCUGGCCUCUCAUUCAUCACCAGCAUAAUCUUCUGGAGCACCUACCUACACAGAGUCUGUGUGCUCCUGUAAAUUCUACCCCAUAGCUGUUGUGAGUCUUUACCAUUUCUGGAGCAUUAAUUGUGACAUUCUCAAAC
ensembl:lncRNA